GGAGACGUGGCCGAGUGGUCGAAGGCGCACGCCUGGAAAGUGUGUAGGCGAGGAAUCGUCUCGAGGGUUCGAAUCCCUUCGUCUCCGCCA
rnacentral:tRNA from 1 species